UCCUGUCUGUCUUAGCAAGU
rnacentral:misc_RNA from 1 species